rnacentral:sRNA from 1 species
AUCUAAACGGGAUAGAAAUGGCAGCCUCCGAUUUAAGCACUUAUCUUUGUUGUUUUAUAGCGUGCUUGGUUUUUUCACAGGUUUCAUCGGAGCUAUAAUGGAUAGCCCGACUGACA